rnacentral:rRNA from 1 species
AUUGAACGCUGGCGGCAUGCCUUACACAUGCAAGUCGAACGGUAACAGGUCUUCGGAUGCUGACGAGUGGCGAACGGGCGAGUAAUACAUCGGAACGUGCCCGAUCGUGGGGGAUAACGAAGCGAAAGCUUUGCUAAUACCGCAUACGAUCUACGGAUGAAAGCAGGGGACCGCAAGGCCUUGCGCGAACGGAGCGGCCGAUGGCAGAUUAGGUAGUUGGUGGGAUAAAAGCUUACCAAGCCGACGAUCUGUAGCUGGUCUGAGAGGACGACCAGCCACACGGGGACGUGGACACGGCCCAGGCUCCUACGGGAGGCAGCAGUGGGGAAUUUUGGACAAUGGGCGAAAGCCUGAUCCAGCCAUGCCGCGUGCAGGAUGAAGGCCUUCGGGUUGUAAACUGCUUUUGUACGGAACGAAAAGACUCUGGUUAAUACCUGGGGUCCAUGACGGUACCGUAAGAAUAAGCACCGGCUAACUACGUG